rnacentral:lncRNA from 1 species
UUCCAUUCUCUUGCCUGCAGCUGUUUUGUUUGCAUAAAGCAUAAAAUGUCUCCCAGUUGUUCAAGGCUAAUUAAAGUGGUAGAUAAAGUUACCCAGAGAGUCUCAGGUUAACACUUUGUUGGCAAAAAAUAAAAAAGAUUGCUUAAUUUCCCCCCUUUUCACAAUUGCUUUUUAACAAUUUAAGAUUUCUAAAGAUUUUACUUCAGGCAACUUUAUUUCUCUGAAGUGUGCCUAAAGACUUCCUGAGUCAGCUUUCAUGCUCCCACACUCAUUACCACAAGGGUCUGUGGCAAAGAACUGGAUACUUAGCCUAGCAAAUUUGCUGAUUCCAGACCUGAUAUGACAGCAAUUCCCAUGGUAGUUGGAUCAGCCUGACAGAGUUGGCCAAGAGAAACACAAUAAUCAUUUGAGAUCCUAUUUAGCCUGCCUGGACUGUACUGCCAUGAUCUCGGCUCGCUGCAACCUCUCUGCCUCGGGCUCCCGUGAUUCUCCUGCCUCGGCCUGCUGAGUGCCUGGGAUUCCAGGCACGCAUCACCACUCCUGACUGAUUUUUGUAUUUUUGGUGGAGACGGGGUUUCACCGUGUUGACCGGGCUGGUCUCCAGCUCCUGGCCUCGGGUGAUCUGCCCCCCUCGGCCUCCCAAGGUGCUGGGAUUGCAGACGGAGUCUCGCUCACUCAAUGCUCAAUGUUGUCCAGGCUGGAGUGCAGUGGCGUGAUCUCGGCUUGCUACAACCUCCACCUCCCAGCCGCCUGCCUUGGCCUCCCAAAGUGCUAAGAUUGUAGCCUCUGCCUGCCUGCCACCCCGUCUAGGAAGUGAGCAGCGUCUCUGCCUGACCGCCUAUCGUCUGGGAUGUGAGGAGCCCCUCUGCCCAGCUGCCCCGUCUAGGAAGUGAGGAGUGCCUCUGCCCGGCCACCACCCCGUCUAGGAAGUGAGGAGCAUCUCUGCCUGGCCGCCCAUCGUCUGGGAUGUGAGGAGCGCCUCUGCCCGGCCGCCACCCCGUCUAGGAAGUGAGGAGCGUCUCUGCCUGGCCGCCCAUCAUCUGGGAUGUGAGGAGCGCCUCUGCCCGGCCGCCCUGUCUGGGAAGUGAGGAGCGCCUCUGCCCGGCCGCCCCGUCUGGAAGGAAGUGAGGAGCGCCUCUGCCCAGCUGCCCCGAAUGGGAAGUGAGGAGUGCCUCUGCCCGGCCGCCCCAUCUGGGAAGUGAGGAGCGCCUCUGCCCGGCCACCCUGUCUGGGAUGUGAGGAGCGCCUCUGCCCGGCUGCCACCCCGCCUGGGAGGCAAGGAGCGCCUCUGACUGGCAGCCCCAUCUGGCAACUGAGGAGCACCUCUGCCCGGCCGCCACCCCAUCUGGGAAGUGGGGAGCGCCUCUGCCCGGCCACCCCAUCUGGGAUGUGAGGAGCGCCUCUGCUCGGCCACCCCAUCUGGGAAGUGAGGAGCGCCUCUGCCCAGCCACCCCAUCUGUGACGUGAGGAGCGCCUCUUCCCGGCCGCCACCCCGUCUGGGAUGUGAGGAGCGCCUCUGCCCGGCCGCCCUGUCUGGGAACUGAGGAGCGCCUCUGCCCGGCCGCCCUGUCUGGGAAGUGGGGAGUGCCUCUGCCCAGCCACCCCGUCGGGGAGGUGAGGAGCAUCUCUGCCCGGCCACCCAUCAUCUGGGAUGUGAGGAGCGCCUCUGGCUGGCCGCCCUUUGUCUGGGAGGUGAGAAGCGCCUCUGCCCAGCCGCCCCAUCUGGGAGGUGAGGAGCCUCUGUGCCCGGCUGCCCCAUCUGGGAGGUGAGGAGCGCCU